rnacentral:rRNA from 1 species
CGUACACUCCUACGGGAGGCAGCAGUGGGGAAUAUUGGACAAUGGGCGCAAGCCUGAUCCAGCCAUGCCGCGUGAGUGAUGAAGGCCCUAGGGUUGUAAAGCUCUUUCACCGGUGAAGAUAAUGACGGUAACCGGAGAAGAAGCCCCGGCUAACUUCGUGCCAGCAGCCGCGGUAAUACGAAGGGGGCUAGCGUUGUUCGGAUUUACUGGGCGUAAAGCGCACGUAGGCGGACUAUUAAGUCAGGGGUGAAAUCCCGGGGCUCAACCCCUGAACUGCCUUUGAUACUGGUAGUCUUGAGUUCGAGAGAGGUGAGUGGAAUUCCGAGUGUAGAGGUGAAAUUCGUAGAUAUUCGGAGGAACACCAGUGGCGAAGGCGGCUCACUGGCUCGAUACUGACGCUGAGGUGCGAAAGCGUGGGGAGCAAACAGGAUGAGAAACCCUGGUAGUCCCAUG